ensembl:lncRNA
GGUUCCUGCUGGUUUCACAUUUAUUUUAAUAAUCAGAUGGAGCUUCAAUGUUUCAUUAAAUGUGAUUAUUAUUAUAUUUUACUGUAGAUAGAAGCUGAUUCUGAGUCAGCCAGGGGGAAGGACUGACAGAAAGAGAAUAAAAUCCAGGAUUUAUUACAGGAAUCUUUCACUGCUUCCUCUACUAGUAGUUUAAUGUGUUUCAACCUCUGGUUCCCAACCUUCAGGGGUCGCUGGGUCAGUCUGACGGGUCACCAGGUGAAGAACAAGUCUUUAGUUCAUAUAAACUGCCAGUGGUUCCAGGUGGGUCCAGGGGUCCAGCUUCAGGGCACCUUGACCCGGGUGGAGCUCCAGUAGACGGGCUGAGGGACCAACACCUGGACGUGACACGUUGGACAUGACUGUUUCCUCCACAGCCACUCCUCGAUGCACUGCAGAGACACAUCACAGUCAGGUACACCUCCAUGACACACCUGGACACCUUUAAAGGCACAUUUACCUGCACAAAGUCACCUCACACCUGAAGAGGAUCAGGUAGAGCAAACAGAGGCUCCCUGAGGGCUCAGGUGUGAUCAUCGGGUGAUCUGGCCAUGGUCUGACCUGUGUGUGUCAGGUUUAUUACCUGAGUUUAUCAGGUGUGUUACCUGUGUGUCAGGUGUGUUAGCUCUUUGUGGAAGGUGUGUUAGCUCUUUGUGGAAGGUGUGUUAGCUCUUUGUGGAAGGUGUGUUACCUCUUUGUGGAAGGUGUGUUACCUCUUUGUGGAAGGUGUGUUACCUGUGUUUCUCAGGUGUGUUAGGUGUGUUACCUCUUUGUGGAAGGUGUGUUACCUGUGUUUCUCAGGUGUGUUAGGUGUGUUACCUCUUUGUGGAAGGUGUGUGUACACUGCAGCUCUCUGGUGCCGCCGCUGCCUUGCUGUAAGUCGUUGUGACAGAUCAGACAAACGCUGUAGGCGUCGCUCUGCAACACAAACAGGGUUUCUGGUCACAACGCGUCCUGUUGGAUUAAAAUCAUCGUGUCUUUAAACCCACCAGAGACAUGACGUUUCGUCUCCUGAACUGGCUCCGCCUCACGGAGGGCGUGGCCUCUGGGAUUGUGGGUAUGAGGGAGGGUCUUCGCUCAGCGGUGGGGGCGGUGGCUUCCUGUGGGGAUGGAAGGAGGCGGCGGGAGGAUGAACGAUGCAGCAACACCUUCGCCGUUAACGGAGCCCGAGUGGACGAGUGCAGACGAGACAGCUGCAUGGCAGAGAGCGUCGACUGGAAACACAAUCAAGAUUCAUUUAGCUUUUAGACACAUCAGAGGAAUUUACAGGUGAAUCACCAACACAUGAUGGUAAAUAUCAUAAAUAAAAGACCAAAUAUAACAACAGAUUUCAAACAGCAAGACUCAGUAAAACCUGCAGUUUACAAAUACAGUGAGUACAGAUCUGUGAAGGAUUGUGACUUCAAUGAAACUGCAUUAUUCAUGUAGAACAGCAGAAUAUUUCCUCUGAUGAUCAGAAACUCACUCUUUACAAAGACUGUAUUUACAAUUCAGAACCCAAGGUAGAACCUCAGAGAACCAAAGAGUACAGCUGUGAUCCCAAACAGUCUGACUGAUGAACAUGGUUCUAAAUGAGCUGAGAACAGCAGAACCUUCUCAGUCCUGGACCUAUGGACUGGGUCUAUCUAUGUCUGCAUCAUGGCUUCACAUGGAAAAGAACUGAACAGAGGAAGAGAAACAUCUGACUGAGAGACUCGACAAAGAUGGAAAAAGAUCCAGGAAGAUCAGUGAGACACUAAAAACCAGUGAAGCACAGAGUCAGCAGUAAUCAGGAGGUCUAGGAGGAGUCAUAGUACCACUAAUCAGGAGGUCUAGAAGGAGUCAUAGUACCACUAAUCAGGAGGUCUAGAAGGAAUCUUAGUACCACUAAUCAGGAGGUCUAGAAGGAGUCUUAGUACCACUAAUCAGGAGGUCUAGAAGGACUCGUAGAACCACUAAUCAGGAGAUCUAGAAGGAGUCAUAGUACCACUAAUCAGGAGGUCUAGAAGGAGUCAUAGAACCACUAAUCAGGAGUUCUAGAAGGAGUCAUAGUACCACUAAUCAGGAGGUAUAGAAGGAGUCAU